UCAUAAGAUUUUAUCACACAGUGGACUAAAUUUUUGGGUUGAAAUCUUCUCAUGUAGGUCAUAACAAUUGUGAUUUCAUAUCAGGCCUCAUAAUGUCCAGAGAGGCAGGCAUUUACAAAAAUAAUUCUUGACCAUACAACUUAUGAUUUUUGAAAAAUAUUUGAAGUGAAAUGACAUAGCAGUUUUCGUCGUAUAUUCUUUCCUUAAAUUUGAGGCAACCAGUGGAUGUUGUAGGUUCGACGGAAAGGUUCUCAAAGCUCACUCUUACAUAUUCCCAAAUUUCAGAGUCUUGGCCGGCCAUACUGCAAAGGCAACAUAUGUGGCUCAACAAUAGCUUCAUAAGCGUGAUGCAUUAUUGAUUAUGUGCGCUUCAAGCCUGAUGCAGAAGCCAUGGAAUUGAAGAUAUAGUAUAUUUGGUUGUUGCUAUGAAGAACGUCACACCAAUUGGAUUGACACAUUUAGUAUGCAUGGGGUGCAUGUGCGAUUUGACCUAAAGUGUCCUAUGUGUUUACAGUUGUGUGGAAAUCGGUUCUAAGUGUCUUGUACAAAUUUGUUUGGCGACUCUGAAGAAUGUCUUGUACUAGUUAAAGCAGUCACCUUGUGUUUGGUUUGUAAAAUUCAUAAAAGCUACGGUGUACUUUGGGUAUAAAGUUAAGGAGAUCACAAUUUAUUCUUCAAACAUUGAUAAGAAAGUAAAUUAAAUGCAUUUCUUGUUUA